AUUUUCCUCCCCAGCUGUACAGACCAGUGUCUCAGCUAUUGGGGUUUGAGGACUCUACUGUGAUCCUGGCAUGCACUCUCUCAAGCACCCUCUGCUUGAAACAGUCCAAUGAGGCUGAUUUGGAGCCCUCUCAGGUAUAAGGAUAUGUCUCAGUAGUCUUUCAUCUUACUCAUUUCCUGUUCCACAGCCUUACCCUAUGUGAAAUACCCAAACCCUUCAUUCCUGAUGACUUGAAUGCAUCAUGCUCUGUGAGGCUGCACUAUGCAGAGCUUUUGAAGAACAGUAAUAAUGAAACCUCUCUAGUGCUUUUUAUCCAGCUUGUAAAACCCAACCUUGUGGUGAUUUUAUCAUCUCUUCCCUAGCCAGGCAUGAAACAUCAACACACAAAACAGCUAAGUGCUCUGUUCCUCAAAGCUGUCUUCAGUCAACAAACCCCUGCCACCCAUAAGGGAUUAAAUUCACACUUUUUGUGACAGACAGACAUAACUAGAAAUUGUCCAUAAUGCAUUCAGAACAGCUUCUUUCUCUUGUGGUAGAGGGGGGAUUUAAAUGUGAGGUGGUCCUUGCACUUCAUAGUCUGUGCUCCUCUGGACUUUUAUCUGUGAUCUCCAUGCACCUGAUGUACUACAAAGUUAAGGCCUUCAGGCUACUGUGGUAGGCAGUUUUUUUUAAGAUUUUUUCUUUUUUUUACUCCUCUUGGAUGACUAUUUGCAUUGGUACAGUCAAUGUUAAAUGAUUUGAGAGGAAAAGAUUCGUAUUCUGACAUUUGCCUUUCACUGCAUCCACUCAGUAGUUCUGCUUAUAACAGUUUCUGCAUAGAAAAAAAAAUCCUUUAGAAGUACAUGACUAUUUUUUUCCAUCUUCAAAGAAGCCAAUUUCACCCAGAGCCUUAUUAAUAGUGUAGGUGGAAGUGGAACUCUAGCAGCAAAAGCCCAGCAGGCAUAAUAUGCUUGUUUUUAUUUUUUUCUUAUUAAUGCUAAUCCCACAUCGCUUAUUGCUCUUUUGGAAGAGUCUGAUUAGAACAAAAAACUGAUAUUAACGUUAAUUGAGAGAAGUUAAUCUCACAAUACAGACAGGCAAAUGACCUGCUUGGGACAAUGAAGAACUGUGAUGGAAUCCAGAUCUUUGCUACCAUUUUCAGACAGAGGUACUACAGACUGUUAAUUCUGCAAUAUGCAUUAUUAAUUAUGCAUCUAUGAUUCUGCUACCAACAAAACAGGAUUACUUCAGAAUCAUUUUUUCUUUUACUUUCUGUUUUAUUAACAAGUAGUGAUAGACAAUAGCUGAAUAUCUACAAACUUUCCAUGCUUUUCUGUCCAGUUACCAGAUCUACCUCUGGCAACACAUGUAGAUUCAGCGCUGAUCCCCAUGAUGUCAGUCUCUAUUGAAUUUACUGAGAUUAGACCAUGGCUUUUCAUUUCCAGCUGUCUGCUGAGGAAUGUGCUGAACAGGCUGACCAAUGGAAGUGCUCAUUUUUUCUGUCAUUCAGAAAUUGUGAAGCUCUGUAGAUGUCUCUAUUUUGAUCUGCCUCUAAAGAGCAACAUCAUCAGAGUACUGGUGCAGGCGGAGCCAUGUCCUACAGCCCUCCUGGUGGGACCAUACUUCACUUCUGCCUUUUGUACACUCUCCAAAGUGAGGUUUUGGACUAGGGAUGUCGAAUAAUUUCUGAUAACUGAGAGCAGCACCAAAAGGUUUCUGAUAACUGAGGGGACCUGAGAGCAGCACCAAAAGGCAUAGAAGCCCAGCUCCUCCACGCUUCAGCCUCCACCAUCCCCUCAGACUGGGAACCCAAGUCCCACAUGAAAUUAUCAGCACAGCAAUGGUGUUUCUUAGCAUCAUCCCAAGCAAGUCAGAAUCAGUGAGAAAUUCAUUGCCAGUCAUGUGGUACAGCUUUAUUCAAAUGGGUUGAAGCAGAAAAAGAAACUACAGAGGAACAAGAUGCAGUGGAGUUCUUCUUCACUUACUAGAGAGGAGAGUGGAAGCGGAGGCCCAGGUGUCCAACAGAAAAAAAACACCAUUAGAGAAGUUGUAGGCUUCAGAGCAAGAAGGCUGUGUCACUGAUUAAAGCAUCAGAGCUGCCAAAGGAGACUCAACAGCUGUCAGCAAAAGAAGUCAGAAGCAGAGCAGCAGGUGACAAUGAAACAGCUGGGGGUGCCCAAGGCCUUGGUUGAAGGCUUUGAAGGUUGAAUCUUGGUUGAUCUUGGUUGAAGAUCCAGCACUGUUCAUGAACUCCAAAAGAGCCAGAGAGGCAUGAGAUGAAGAUGCAGAGAUCAUUGAUGACAAAAUCUAAAGAAGAGGAGAAGAGGGAUGGUCAGGCAGGAGGAAUUAGGCUGAGCAGCUGGAGAAGGAGUGGAUGGCAACCAAGAGAAACCAGAAUGGAGGGCAGGUCAAAUGAAAUCUUGUUGGCAGAUGAAGAGCAGGACACAAUCAAUACAGCACUGAGCUGGUUCACCAGAGUACUGCAAACCAAAAGGGUUGUUUCAAGACAGGACUCUUGAUGGGUAGUGCUGUAAUUCCAGUUAGUCAACCACCCCAGCUGCUGGCAAGUGGCUGCCAGGCACAACAUCAGGGUGUACAGCAAUGAGCUGAGUUUAUGUUACUGAAAUUAAAUAAAAUUUGAUUUUAUUACAGGGGCUGAUUCAUUAUAAUACUUUUUUUCAUGAAAGAGCAAAUAUUCUAUGUCAGUUCUUUGGCAUUUAUAAUCGUAAGAAGUGGAGCCUGAAGAAACAUAAGAGGCAGGCAAGGAAAGCAAGGUUUUACUGGCUGGAAAAGUGGCUACAGCCAGGUGGAUCAUGCCAAUUGUCCCAUGUAAGCACUAGAAGUCUUUUAUCACAUCUCAUUUUAAAAGUAGUUGUAGAGAGAAAUUAAAUGACAUGUAUACUGCCUUUCUAUCUCAAUAUUUCUGUAGCCAGCCUUUCUUAGGAGUAUGAUCUU